rnacentral:tRNA from 1 species
GCCUUAGUGGUCCAGGGGUUAGGAUUCUUGCCUUCCAUUCAACGUCUGUUUGAUGCGCUAGCAAGAGGCCCGUGUUCGAGUCACGGCUGAGGCA